UACGGAGGAUCCGAGCGUUAUCCGGAUUUAUUGGGUUUAAAGGGUGCUCAGGCGGGUUGUUAAGUCGGCGGUGAAAUUUUGCGGCUCAACCGUAAAAGUGCCUUCGAAACUGGCAGCCUUGAGUGUGGAUGAGGUAGGCGGAAUUUGUGGUGUAGCGGUGAAAUGCAUAGAUAUCACGAGGAACUCCGAUUGCGCAGGCAGCUUACCAAGCCAUAACUGACGCUCAAGCACGAAGGCGUGGGGAUCAAACAGG
rnacentral:rRNA from 1 species